GACGAACGCUGGCGGUGUGCUUCACACAUGCAAGUCGAACGAGGUAGCAAUACCUAGUGGCGGACGGGUGAGUAACGCGUGGGAAUCUGCCUUAAGAUGGGGGAUAACGAGCCGAAGGGCUCGCUAAUACCGCAUAUGCCGAAAGGUGAAAGGAGUAAUCCGUCUUAAGAUGAGCCCGCGUCCGAUUAGCUAGUUGGUAGGGUAAAGGCCUACAAGGCGACGAUCGGUAGCUGGUCUGAGAGGAUGAUCAAGCCACAAUGGGACUGAGACACGGCCCAUACUCCUACGGGAGGCAGCAGUGGGGAAUUUUACGCAAUGGGGGAAACCCUGACGUAGCGACACCGCGUGAGCGAAGAAGCCCCUUGGGGUGUAAAGCUCUGUCAGCUGGAACGAAAAAAAUGACGGUACCAGCAGAGGAAGCAUCGGCUAACUACGUG
rnacentral:rRNA from 1 species